UACGAAGGGGGCUAGCGUUGUUCGGAAUUACUGGGCGUAAAGGGCGCGCAGGCGGCCCUCCAAGUCAGACGUGAAAUCCCUCGGCUUAACCGGGGAACUGCAUCUGAUACUGGAUGGCUUGAGUUCGGGAGAGGGAUGCGGAAUUCCAGGUGUAGCGGUGAAAUGCGUAGAUAUCUGGAGGAACACCGGUGGCGAAGGCGGCAUCCUGGACCGGCACUGACGCUGAGGAGCGAAAGCCAGGGGAGCAAACGGG
rnacentral:rRNA from 1 species